CACGUAGGGGCGAGCGUUGUCCGGAAUUACUGGGCGUAAAGGGCGCGCAGGCUGUUAUGCGAGUCUGCUGUGAAAUGUACCGGCUCAACCGGUGCCUUGCGGCGGAUACUGCAUAGCUGGAGUACUGGAGAGGGAAGUGGAAUUCCUAGUGUAGCGGUGAAAUGCGUAGAUAUUAGGAGGAAUACCAGUGGCGAAGGCGACUUUCUGGACUUAUACUGACGCUGAGGAACGAAAGACGUGGGGAGGCAAACAGGAUUAGAUA
rnacentral:rRNA from 1 species